rnacentral:rRNA from 1 species
GCACAGAGCAAUCUGUGUGACUGCGUACCUUUUGUAUAAUGGGUCAGCGACUUAUAUUCUGUAGCAAGGUUAACCGAAUAGGGGAGCCGAAGGGAAACCGAGUCUUAACUGGGCGUUAAGUUGCAGGGUAUAGACCCGAAACCCGGUGAUCUAGCCAUGGGCAGGUUGAAGGUUGGGUAACACUAACUGGAGGACCGAACCGACUAAUGUUGAAAAAUUAGCGGAUGACUUGUGGCUGGGGGUGAAAGGCCAAUCAAACCGGGAGAUAGCUGGUUCUCCCCGAAAGCUAUUUAGGUAGCGCCUCGUGAAUUCAUCUCCGGGGGUAGAGCACUGUUUCGGCAAGGGGGUCAUCCCGACUUACCAACCCGAUGCAAACUGCGAAUACCGGAGAAUGUUAUCACGGGAGACACACGGCGGGUGCUAACGUCCGUCGUGAAGAGGGAAACAACCCAGACCGCCAGCUAAGGUCCCAAAGUCAUGGUUAAGUGGGAAACGAUGUGGGAAGGCCCAGACAGCCAGGAUGUUGGCUUAGAAGCAGCCAUCAUUUAAAGAAAGCGUAAUAGCUCACUGGUCGAGUCGGCCUGCGCGGAAGAUGUAACGGGGCUAAACCAUGCACCGAAGCUGCGGCAGCGACGCUGAUGCGUUGUUGGGUA